AUAAUCAUUAGUCUUUUAAUUGAGGGCUGGAAUGAAUGAUUGAACGAAGUAUUAACUGUCUCAUUUUAAUUAUUAUUAGAAUUUAAUUUUUGAGUUAAAAAGCUUAAAUUUUAUUAAAGGACGAGAAGACCCUAUAGAGCUUUAUAUUAAUAUUAAUAAUAUUUUUUUAGUUUUAUUUUAAUUUUAUUAUUAAAAAUAUUUUAUUGGGGUGAUAGGAAGAUUAAAAUAACUCUUUUUUUUUUUUACACUAAUUAGUGAAUUUUUGAUCCUAUAUUAUAGAUUAUAAGACUAAGUUACCUUAGGGAUAACAGCGUAAUUUUUUUUGAGAGUUCAUAUCGACAAAAAGGAUUGC
rnacentral:rRNA from 1 species